AACUGGAAAACUUUCUUUUCCAGCUGUGAAGAAAGGUUGAGAAAGGACAAAAUGAUGGCAUUGUUUUUGAGGAUACAAAAGGGUUUCCCUCACAUAUGUCUCACCUGGGUCCGGUAUUUGCCAGGAGACCAGAUAUGGAUAGAAUCUUCCAUGGAAGUGCCUUGUGUGUGUCCCCUUCUCUUACUGUGCCCUUGGAUGUGGCCUACCCAGAUGUCAGUCAACCUGCUGACAGUGGACAUCAUGAAGAUAGACUCAGCCCCCUGAAACCUGACCUCUUGCCUCAUUUGAAUAGCUUCUCCUCAAUAAAAGGGGUCAGCAAGUGCUCUCUCUCUUCCUGCGGACUCUUAAGGUCAGAGGAGCCAUCACAGCGACCCCAAAGAAAAAGGAUCUGAAGAUUGGAUCACGUGACACCCAUCAUUCAGGCAAAUUUCCCUAAUCUGUAAACAUCUUCAGAAACACAUGAACUAUGCAGAGAAUGGAUACAGAUGAUGGUGGUAUCAUGGAUGGGCCAUAUGUUGGAAAUUUUUACCAAUUAAGAAAGGAGAGUGUGGGUAGUUGUGUGAAAACAUGGUGGGACUUGUAGGGCAUGUCUUGUGGACAUUUGUCAUCUGAUACAUUUUGAAGAAAGGAGGGACUAUGAGACCAGGCACCCAGGAUGAAGAACUGAAGUCAGCUGGCUCAGAAUGGAGGGACUGGCUGAAGAAAGGAGGACAGAGUCUAAGACUGGAGGGAGGGGUGAGAUCCAACUGGGAAAAGAGAUCUCUGAUCUUGGAGAAGAACCUGAGGAGGAGGUGGCGGCCAUGGGAGUGAUCUCUAAUUGAGGCCUGGAAUGCCAGGAGCUCACAAGGUCAUGGAAAUCAGGGGUGGAGGAGUGUAUGAAACCACCUGUCAUGGAAGCGUGACCAAGUGGGCCCCAGCUUGUUCUGAUGGAGAUGGGAGGGACCAAACGAUGAACUGAGAUUUAUAUCCAACUUUUUCCUGAAACGGCACCAACUCACCUCAUUAGCAAUCUCCUGGAUUUCUUCAGUGGCAGGUUUGGCCUCAGUCAAGCCUCCAGGUAUCAUUUUGGCUAGUGUCUGCCAGGCAGGGUGCUGGAAGCCAAGUGCUCAGGUAAGUGUGGAGACAAGUUUUAACAGCAACUCAGCAAACAAGCUCCGCCUAUAGAAUGUGCUCACUUCCACAAAGAGUAAAGAGGCGAGGGAAAAGGAGUUUGCCCGAAGCGAGUUUUCUUGCUUUCUUGAGAGGAUCUGUUGAGUGGAACUGGGAAGGAUGCGGGUGGGGAGACCAGCGUGGGCGAGCUCGGGAGUCACCCCGCAGCGAGCCUCAGACUUGCCUCCCUGUGUUCUCGGUACCCAUCCUGAUUCCAUCCGGUUGCGCCCUCUGCAAUCCGACAUGCGAAACCACAGUCUCCAGAUCUUUAAAAACCUCCAGUGUAAAAUUUUAUGUAUUUUUUAAAAAGAAUAGUUUCAAAUAACAUCAAGGCUGGUUGUUCACAAUUUACUUGAAUUUGUGAAGACAAUAAAAGGAUCUGUAGGGAGGACUUCAUCUGGAUAUGUGUACUUCACUUUUAAUUUCUAGAAACAUUUCAAUUACAGAAAAGCAAUAGCAAAGUAUAUUUCUAUUACUCAGAAAUAAAGAUUUUAAACAUUUUGUCUUAUUUAAUUCACAUCAUUAUUUUUCUUUUUGUAGUUGUUUUGAAGAAGUGAAAUAUUAUACCCACCCCAACCUUGCCCUCUAUAGAGGAAUUUCUCCAGACAACGUCUAGGAGCGAAGUUGCCAGGGACCAUGUAAUAAAUAGGAACCAAAGAGUUUACAGUAUAAGGAAUUCUUUAUAUACUCUCCAUCAGAUGCCUUCACCCAGCAGAUUGAUGAUGACAUGAUGCUCCUUCAUGAAGCCACAAGCCAUCUGAAGACUUUGGCUCAGCUUUCCUAGGCCCCUGGCUCACAGACCACCCUGAACAGCCUCCACAUACAUGCAGGUUCUAUUCAUCUUCCUGUGGCCUUCCCAAGUCAAGUCCUCUCAGGGGCAGGCCCCUGUUUUCAAGGCCUCAGCCCAUUUCUACCUCCUUGCUUACCUUGUCUAGGCCUUCUUUAGGGACCCUCCCUGGUGGGAGGGGACAGGGUAACCUGCAGGUCUGUUCCUUUCCAGGCUUGAUGCUCUGUGUUUUCAGCUCUUCCCUCUUGAUUCUCUAUAAUUUCUUUUAGAAUUAAAAACUUCCCCCAAGCAAA